rfam:Nasonia vitripennis chromosome 3 unlocalized genomic scaffold Chr3_random023, whole genome shotgun sequence.
CAAUAGGCCCUUUUUAGGGCCACCAUAUUUUUUAAACGUAGAACAUU